rnacentral:tRNA from 1 species
GGAAGAGUGGCCGAGUGGUUGAAGGCGCGGCUCUCGAAAAGCCGUAUGGGUCAAAAGCUCAUCGUGGGUUCGAAUCCCACCUCUUCCGCCA